GAAGGCCCAGACAGCCAGGAUGUUGGCUUAGAAGCAGCCAUCAUUUAAAGAAAGCGUAAUAGCUCACUGGUCGAGUCGGCCUGCGCGGAAGAUGUAACGGGGCUAAACCAUGCACCGAAGCUGCGGCAGCGAACGUAUCACUUAAAGCGAUUCAGCGGGUUACGAUUGACGGAGCGAAGCGACGUCAAAGCGUAUACAAAGUCGAGUCGGUUUAAGGAUACGUUCGUUGGGUAGGGGAGCGUUCUGUAAGCCUGUGAAGGUGUGUCGUGAGGCAUGCUGGAGGUAUCAGAAGUGCGAAUGCUGACAUAAGUAACGAUAAAGCGGGUGAAAAGCCCGCUCGCCGGAAGACCAAGGGUUCCUGUCCAACGUUAAUCGGGGCAGGGUGAGUCGACCCCUAAGGCGAGGCCGAAAGGCGUAGUCGAUGGGAAACGGGUUAAUAUUCCCGUACUUGGUGUUACUGCGAAGGGGGGACGGAGAAGGCUAUGUUGGCCGGGCGACGGUUGUCCCGGUUUAAGCGUGUAGGUGUGUGUUCCAGGUAAAUCCGGUUCACUUUAACACUGAGGCGUGACGACGAGGCACUACGGUGCUGAAGCAACAAAUGCCCUGCUUCCAGGAAAAGCCUCUAAGCAUCAGGUAACAUCAAAUCGUACCCCAAACCGACACAGGUGGUCAGGUAGAGAAUACCAAGGCGCUUGAGAGAACUCGGGUGAAGGAACUAGGCAAAAUGGUGCCGUAACUUCGGGAGAAGGCACGCUGACACGUAGGUGAAGUGAUUUACUCAUGGAGCUGAAGUCAGUCGAAGAUACCAGCUGGCUGCAACUGUUUAUUAAAAACACAGCACUGUGCAAACACGAAAGUGGACGUAUACGGUGUGACGCCUGCCCGGUGCCGGAAGGUUAAUUGAUGGGGUCAGCGCAAGCGAAGCUCCUGAUCGAAGCCCCGGUAAACGGCGGCCGUAACUAUAACGGUCCUAAGGUAGCGAAAUUCCUUGUCGGGUAAGUUCCGACCUGCACGAAUGGCGUAAUGAUGGCCAGGCUGUCUCCACCCGAGACUCAGUGAAAUUGAACUCGCUGUGAAGAUGCAGUGUACCCGCGGCAAGACGGAAAGACCCCGUGAACCUUUACUAUAGCUUGACACUGAACAUUGAGCCUUGAUGUGUAGGAUAGGUGGGAGGCUUUGAAGCGUGGACGCCAGUCUGCGUGGAGCCGACCUUGAAAUACCACCCUUUAAUGUUUGAUGUUCUAACGUGGACCCGUGAUCCGGGUUGCGGACAGUGUCUGGUGGGUAGUUUGACUGGGGCGGUCUCCUCCUAAAGAGUAACGGAGGAGCACGAAGGUUGGCUAAUCCUGGUCGGACAUCAGGAGGUUAGUGCAAUGGCAUAAGCCAGCUUGACUGCGAGCGUGACGGCGCGAGCAGGUGCGAAAGCAGGUCAUAGUGAUCCGGUGGUUCUGAAUGGAAGGGCCAUCGCUCAACGGAUAAAAGGUACUCCGGGGAUAACAGGCUGAUACCGCCCAAGAGUUCAUAUCGACGGCGGUGUUUGGCACCUCGAUGUCGGCUCAUCACAUCCUGGGGCUGAAGUAGGUCCCAAGGGUAUGGCUGUUCGCCAUUUAAAGUGGUACGCGAGCUGGGUUUAGAACGUCGUGAGACAGUUCGGUCCCUAUCUGCCGUGGGCGCUGGAGAACUGAGGGGGGCUGCUCCUAGUACGAGAGGACCGGAGUGGACGCAUCACUGGUGUUCGGGUUGUCAUGCCAAUGGCACUGCCCGGUAGCUAAAUGCGGAAGAGAUAAGUGCUGAAAGCAUCUAAGCACGAAACUUGCCCCGAG
rnacentral:rRNA from 1 species